CCCUUAGAUGUUCGGGGCCGCACGCGCGCUACACUGAAGGAAUCAGCACGUCUUUCUCCUUGUCCGAAAGGACUGGGUAACCCGCUGAACCUCCUUCGUGCUAGGGAUUGGAGCUUGUAAUUCUUCCCCAUGAACGAGGAAUUCCCAGUAAGCGUGAGUCAUCAGCUCGCGUUGAUUACGUCCCUGCCCUUUGUACACACCGCCCGUCGCUACUACCGAUUGAAUGGCUUAGUGAGCCUUUGGGAUUGGCAGCUUGUACCGGCAACGGUAGCAGGCAGCCGAAAACUUAGGCAAACUUGGUCAUUUAGAGGAAGUAAAAGUCGUAACA
rnacentral:rRNA from 1 species